GACGAACGCUGGCGGCGUGCCUAAUACAUGCAAGUAGAACGCUGAAGGAGGAGCUUGCUCUUCUGGAUGAGUUGCGAACGGGUGAGUAACGCGUAGGUAACCUGCCUGGUAGCGGGGGAUAACUAUUGGAAACGAUAGCUAAUACCGCAUAACAGUAGAUGUUGCAUGACAUUUGCUUAAAAGGUGCAAUUGCACCACUACCAGAUGGACCUGCGUUGUAUUAGCUAGUUGGUGGGGUAACGGCUCACCAAGGCGACGAUACAUAGCCGACCUGAGAGGGUGAUCGGCCACACUGGGACUGGGACACGGCCCAGACUCCUACGGGAGGCAGCAGUAGGGAAUCUUCGGCAAUGGACGGAAGUCUGACCGAGCAACGCCGCGUGAGUGAAGAAGGUUUUCGGAUCGUAAAGCUCUGUUGUAAGAGAAGAACGAGUGUGAGAGUGGAAAGUUCACACUGUGACGGUAUCUUACCAGAAAGGGACGGCUAACUACGUG
rnacentral:rRNA from 1 species